rnacentral:rRNA from 1 species
UACCUGGUUGAUCCUGCCAGUAGUCAUAUGCUUGUCUCAAAGAUUAAGCCAUGCAGGUCUAAGUCCAUGCCGCAAUAAGGUGAGACCGCGAAUGGCUCAUUAAAUCAGUUAUGGUUCCUUAGAUCUUCGGUUACACUUGGAUAACCCUGGUAAUUCUAGAGCUAAUACAUGCGACAUCAACGCUGACCUCGCGGAAAGCGUGUUUUUAUUAGACCAAGACCAAUCGUCGCUCUCGGGCGACGUCCAUUUGGUGAUUCUGAAUAACUUGGUGCGGAUCGUACGGCCUCGUGCCGACGACGUAUCUUUCAAAUGUCUGCCUUAUCAACUUGUUGGUUGUCUAUUGGACAACCAAGGUGGUAACGGGUGACGGAGAAUCAGGGUUCGAUACCGGAGAGGGAGCACGAGAAACGGCUACCACAUCCAAGGAAGGCAGCAGGCACGCAAAUUACCCAAUCUCGGCUCGAGGAGGUAGUGACGAAAAAUAACAAUACGAGACUCAUCCGAGGCUUCGUAAUUGGAAUGAGCGUGAACUAAAUCCUUGUUGCGAGGAUCUAUUGGAGGGCAAGUCUGGUGCCAGCAGCCGCGGUAAUUCCAGCUCCAAUAGCGUAUAUUAAAGUUGCUGCGUUUAAAAAGCUCGUAGUUGGAUCUCAGUCUCGAUCGGUCGGUCCGUACUCGUUACGGUUACUGGCUGAAUCGGACGUUGUUGGCCACAUUUCCGAGCAUGCUCUUCAUUGAGUGUGUUCCGGAGAGUGGAGCGUUUACUUUGAAAAAAUUAGAGUGCUCAAAGCAGGCGCUGUGCCUGGAUAGUCGUGCAUGGAAUGAUGGAAUAGGGCCUCGGUUCUAUUUUGUUGGUUUCCGGAACUCGAGGUAAUGAUUAAUAGGGACGGACGGGGGCAUUUGUAUUGCGACGUUAGAGGUGAAAUUCUUAGAUCGUCGCAAGACAAACUACUGCGAAAGCAUUUGCCAAGAAUGUUUUCAUUAAUCAAGAACGAAAGUCAGAGGUUCGAAGGCGAUCAGAUACCGCCCUAGUUCUGACCAUAAACGAUGCCAACUGGCGAUCCGCGGNUGUUAAUUCCAAUGACUCGGCGGGCAGCUUCCGGGAAACCAAAGUUUUUGAGUUCNGGGGGAAGUAUGGUUGCAAAGCUGGAACUUAAAGGAAUUGACGGAAGAGCACCACCAGGAGUGGAGCCUGUGGCUUAAUUUGACUCAACACGGGAAACCUCACCAGGCCCGGACACCAGAAGGAUUGACAGAUUGAUGGCUCUUUCUUGAUUUGGUGGGUGGUGGUGCAUGGCCGUUCUUAGUUGGUGGAGUGAUUUGUCUGGUUAAUUCCGAUAACGAACGAGACCUCGGCCUACUUACUAGACCACGGAUCCUUUUGUCCGUGCUGUCUUCUUAGAGGGACAACUGGCUACAUGAAAUAGCUACAUGAAAUGAGGCAAUAACAGGUCUGUGAUGCCCUUAGAUGUUCUGGGCCGCACACGCGCUACACUGAAGGGAUCACCGUGUAUUUCCUAGCCCGAGAGCGCUGGGAAAACCGCUGAGUUCUCUUCGUGCUAGGGAUUGAGGCUUGCAAUUGUUUCUCAUGAACGAGGAAUUCCCAGUAAGCGUGAGUCAUCAGCUCGCGCUGAUUACGUCCCUGCUCUUUGUACACACCGCCCGUCGCUACUACCGAUUGAAUGAUUUAGUGAGGGAUUCGGACUGGGCGUAGGCGGUGCUUCGGCGCUGUCUUCACUCGGAAAGACUUCCAAACUGUAUCAUUUAGAGGAAGUAAAAGUCGUAACAAGGUUUCCGUAGGUGAACCUGCGGAAGGAUCA